UGGGGAAUUUUGGACAAUGGGCGAAAGCCUGAUCCAGCAAUGCCGCGUGUGUGAAGAAGGCCUUCGGGUUGUAAAGCACUUUUGUCCGGAAAGAAAUCCUUGGCUCUAAUACAGUCGGGGGAUGACGGUACCGGAAGAAUAAGCACCGGCUAACUACGUGCCAGCAGCCGCGGUAAUACGUAGGGUGCAAGCGUUAAUCGGAAUUACUGGGCGUAAAGCGUGCGCAGGCGGUUUGCUAAGACCGAUGUGAAAUCCCCGGGCUCAACCUGGGAACUGCAUUGGUGACUGGCAGGCUAGAGUAUGGCAGAGGGGGGUAGAAUUCCACGUGUAGCAGUGAAAUGCGUAGAGAUGUGGAGGAAUACCGAUGGCGAAGGCAGCCCCCUGGGCCAAUACUGACGCUCAUGCACGAAAGCGUGGGGAGCAAAACAGGAUUAGAUACCCCUGGUAGUCCACGCCCUAAAACGAUGUCAACUAGUUGUUGGGGAUUCAUUUCCUUAGUAACGUAGCUAACGCGUGAAGUUGACCGCCUGGGGAGUACGGUCGCAAGAUUAAAA
rnacentral:rRNA from 1 species